UAACAAAUCAGGUAUUUAAAAAAAAAAAAAAAAAAGGAAGAAAUCUGGGCUCAGUGGACACUUGAAUGCCUCUCAACUUCUCCUGCAGACAGAAAGUUGGUCACUGGACAUCUGCAGUUAUCUGUUGGAGACCUCCUCAAGACCCUAGUUUCUAUUUUACAGUACUGUACAGAAAGAUGAAGCAUCAUGCUGAAGAAAUGGAAGAGGAAUGCAGCAAUGUUCUUUGUAGUUCUUUGGCUGCACUCUCGCCAUUGUCUGCAUAGCAGCCAUUUGUUCUAUGGACGGACAUGAUCUAAAGGAGCAUCAUUUCUAGAUCAACAGUUCUCAAACUUCAUUGCACUGAGAUCCCCUUCUGACAACAAAAAAGUACUACAUGACGCCAGGGCCCUGUGUUACUCUAGAAGAGUUAAUAUUUUAAAUUUAAAAAUGCAUUAAAAGGAUGCAUCUACAAAAAAACACUAUCCACUAAAUAUUUAAACUCACAAUACAAUCGCAAGACAAUCUUUCUAGUCCAGCAGUAAAAAAAUAAAAUAAAAUGCAUAAAAUACGUACCUAAUGGGAGUGAUGAGCUUGUACUGAUGAACACAAAUCCUUGAAGUGGGGCUCUUUGUGACUGAGGUAAAGACUUGUCAUCUUUAUCAGUGAAAUGGAUCUUGUAUGUGUUUUUCAGGAAAGUCACUGCUGAAAAGCUAGCUUCACACAGGUGGCAUGAGUGGUCAAUGCUGCAGAUAACAGCUCUGUAUGUUCUUCUCACACACAAAUCCAGAAGUUAGCAAAAAGUUGUUCAGAAAAAUCUCAGCAUCAAUGUCACAUCCAUUAAUGCUUUUUUCACUGUAAGUUGGAGUUGCCAACUUUCAUGCGGUAAAUAAGCACCCCGACUGUCACAAUAAGCCAAAAAUCAAGCUAAUCCCUUUCAAAACAAGGCCAAAAAUAAGCCAAUCCCUAAGAACCCCAAC